rnacentral:rRNA from 1 species
UACGUAGGCAGCAAGCGUUGUUCGGAGUUACUGGGCGUAAAGGGUGUGUAGGCGGUUCUUUAAGUUUGGUGUGAAAUCUCCCGGCUCAACUGGGAGGGUGCGCCGAAUACUGAGGGACUAGAGUACGGGAGAGGAAAGUGGAAUUCCUGGUGUAGCGGUGAAAUGCGUAGAUAUUGGGAGGAACACCAGUGGCGAAGGCGGCUCACUGGACCGGAACUGACGCUGAGGCGCGAAAGCGUGGGGAGCAAACGGG